UCUUCAAUUAAAGCUAAGUGCAAAGGAUGGA
rnacentral:piRNA from 1 species